UCGAGUAAAAUGCGGCGCGGGGCGGGGGUCCGGGCGGGCUCCGCGCCCCCUCCCCGGAGUUGCCCCUCGCUCCGGGCCCUGCCUGCAGCCCUGCCGCCAGAAAAGCCUUUCCUCUAGGUGCUGCGGCGCUCGCACGGAAAUUGCCUCAGCCAGAAGCAGUGGCAGUGGGGACUGUUCUACUUGCAGGAAUGUUGGGACUAAUCAUGUGAGAAAAGAUCCUGGAGUGAUGAGGCAGCAUAUUUCCCAUGUCUGAGGUCAGGAUUUGUUCUGUGAAGCUGACCUUUAAAACAGCCUGAAAAUGAGGAACGUGACACCAGAGCAGAGCAGGAAGCAUGAAAUUAUAGUCCUAAGAGAGAAGCAAAUGGAUAUAAGCAUGUACUGUAUUUGUGAGACCAGCCCUGGGAUGGCCUGCACGUUAUAAAUUGAUGUUGAAAAAUGGGUGGUGGAACAUUAGAGCCACACAAAAUGAUUCAGAGCCGGAAGAAAAUGCUUUGCAAUGGGAGACAUGGAGCACUUUGUCUCUUUAGUUUAUCAAAAAAGGCUGAGCAGAGAAUUGAUUAUGAUGGUGAAGGAACUUCCUUGGAAGAAAAAUACCAGGUACUGAAAGGCUCUUUAAUCUAGUAAAUUAUGGGAAUGUGUUUCAGCAAGCUGAAAUCAGAUACAUUCAUAUGAAAAACUGGGCACAAAUUUAUUGGAAUGAAGGUGGUUAAUCACCAUAACAAGCUGUCAGGAUAGUUGGAACAUUUUCCAGAUGUGCUCAAGCCAAGACGGGCCUGUUUCUGAAGGGCGUGCACUAAGCACAGUUAAAAGCAUGAGGGACACUGCAGUCGAGUCUCAGGCAAGGUAAACAGGUGAUGUUUGAAGGACUGUGAUGUGUGACAGGCUUGACUAACAGCUCCCAAAGGAGCUGUGAAGAUCUAAUGGUUCCCAUCUGUCCUUUACCUCCCAGAGACAGAGAAAAACAGCACUUAGCAGAAAGUGGAAGGGAGGCAUCAGAAUGACAGCCUCAUUGCUGGCACACUCCUGUGACCUCUGUUUCUGGAAGGACUGUGUCUUUCACCUCCUUGGGGCUCUGCUAAUGUUUGCUCUACUGCCAACACAAGAACAACCUUUCUUCAGUCCACAAGCUCUUUGUACAGAUUGGCAUCAGCACCUUUCAUUUUAGGAGAGAAUGAAUAAAAAUUUGUGAUGCUCAGUGGUAGCCAGGAUAAGUAGUUUCCUUUUUCAGUUUUUUUUUUUUUUUAAUUCCAUCUUCAUAAGCUUUGGUUUUGCCUGUUCUUCACACCUCCUAGUUUCCCUAGUAUCCAUUUCCUUGUAUUGCCUUUGCCACAAGGCUCAGUGUAUUUUCCUGCAUUGAUAAUCUGUGGUGCAGGAUGCCUUGGAGGGUGCUUCCUACCUAUAAUUUGACAAAAUAAACGCUGUCUUUCUUGCACAGAUUUCACAUGGGAUGGGUAUGUCAGUGAUGUGCUGUGUAGAUAAGAGCUUGUCAGGAACUUUUUGAUAAAGUACCUUUCAUCCAAAAGUACAAGUUUGUAUCUGCUGUAGCUAUUGAUGGAAACACACUAAGCCGUCUUUGCAAAAUACCUGCAGUCUGUAUCUCGAGAAGUGCCCUAAUCUAAUUUUAAAAAUUUUCUAAUUUUAAAAAGGCUCCUUUUCCAGAAGACCAGUUGGUGGUGGAAAUCAGGAAUUUCUUAUCUCCUAUUCCCUUUUCUGGGGUCCCAGUGCUUUCAUGCUUAUUGGCCAUCUGCCAGGGAUGAUGCAAGUAUUUUAUACUCUCAAGCCCUGAGACAAGUUUGCUCACUUUUCCUGGUUCCAAAGGGCAAGGUACAAAGUCAGAGCUGAAACAAGGCAAGUGAUUUCCACACAGCAUCCCUGUCUUCCAAUUGGAAAGACAUGGAUUUGAAAGGUGGACUGUUUGCUAGAUAAGGCAUUGACUGGGUGGAUGCAGCCAGAGAAUUGUGGCCAAAGAUUCUAUGCCUAGGCUGGUGCUGAGUGGUGCCCCUUGAGGCUCUGUCUCUUCAGUAUCUUUAUUCAUGACAGUAGGACCAAGCACACCCUCAGCAAGUUUGCAGAUGGCAUAAAGCUGAGCGGUGCAGCUGGAACAGAGGGAAGGGAUGCCAUCUAGAGGAACCUGGACAAACUGGAGAAGUGGGAACAUAAGAAUCUCCUGAGGUUCAACAAGUGCAAGGCGCUGCAGCUGGGUCAGGGCAAUCCCAGACAGUACAGACUGGCAGAACAACUCAUGAAGAUCAGUCCUGUGGAAAAGGACUUUUGGGUUCUCGUGGAUGAAAAGCUGGACAGGAGCCAACAGUGAACACCUGCGGCCCAGAAAGCCAAACACAUCCUGGGCUGCAUCACAAGGUGUUGUCAGCAGGUCAGGGGAGGUGAUCCUGCCCCUUCCCUCUGCUCUCUUGAGUCCCCACCUGCAGUGCUGCAUCCAGCUCGGGUUCCCAGCACAAGAUGUGAACCUGUUAGAGGCAGUCCAGAGGAGGCCAUGAAGAUGAUCAGAGGGAUGGAGCACCUCUCCUGCCCAGACAGGCUGAGUGAGCUGGGAUUGCUCUUCUCUUGAUGGAGAAGAGGAUGCUACAGGAAGACCCCAUUGCAGACUUCCAGUACUCAAAUCACUCUCUUCAACUUCCUGAAGGGUGGCUGUGGUGAGCUGGGGGUCGGUCUCUUU